AAUCAACGCUGGCGGCGUGCCUAACACAUGCAAGUCGAACGAGAAAGUGGAGCAAUCCAUGAGUAAAGUGGCGACCGGGUGAGUAACACGUGACUAACCUACCUCCGAGUGGGGAAUAACUCCGGGAAACCGGGGCUAAUACCGCAUAACAUCGCAAGAUCAAAGCAGCAAUGCGCUUGGAGAGGGGGUCGCGGCUGAUUAGCUAGUUGGUAGGGUAAUGGCCUACCAAGGCGAAGAUCGGUAUCCGGCCUGAGAGGGCGCACGGACACACUGGAACUGAAACACGGUCCAGACUCCUACGGGAGGCAGCAGUGGGGAAUUUUGCGCAAUGGGGGAAACCCUGACGCAGCAACGCCGCGUGGAGGAUGAAGCCCCUUGGGGCGUAAACUCCUUUCGACCAAGACGAUAA
rnacentral:rRNA from 1 species